AUUUAUAUAGUUUAAUUAUAAAACAUUAUAUUUUCAUUAUAAAAAUAAGCUAUCCAUUAACUUUAUAAAUA
rnacentral:tRNA from 1 species